rnacentral:rRNA from 1 species
AUAACGGUCCUAAGGUAGCGAAAUUCCUUGUCAGGUAAGUUCUGACCCGCACGAAAGGCGUAACGAUUUGGGCGCUGUCUCAGCUGUAGACUCGGUGAAGUCUUAGUACCUGUGAAGAUGCAGGUUACCCGCGACUAGACGGAAAGACCCCAUGGAGCUUCACUGCAGGUUGAUAUUGGGAUUUGAUGCAGCAUGUACAGGAUAGGUAGGAGGCAAAGAGAUGGAUACGCCAGUAUUCAAGGAGCCGCUGUUGGGAUACUACCCCUGUUGUAUUGGAUUUCUAACCGGACGACGUAAAGCCGUUGACGGGACAGUGUCAGUCGGGCAGUUUGACUGGGGCGGUCGCCUCCCAAAGAGUAACGGAGGCGCCCAAAGAUACCCUCAGCUUGGAUGGAAACCAAGCGCAGAGUGCAAAGGCAAAAGGGUGUUUGACUGCGAGACCUACAAGUCGAGCAGGGACGAAAGUCGGGCUUAGUGAUCCGGCGGUGCUGAAUGGAAAGGCCGUCGCUCAACGGAUAAAAGCUACCCUGGGGAUAACAGGCUGAUCUCCCCCAAGAGUCCACAUCGACGGGGAGGUUUGGCACCUCGAUGUCGGCUCAUCGCAUCCUGGGGCUGUAUUCGGUCCCAAGGGUUUGGCUGUUCGCCAAUUAAAGCGGUACGCGAGCUGGGUUCAGAACGUCGUGAGACAGUUCGGUCCCUAUCUGUCGUGGGCGCAGGAAAUUUGAGAAGAGCUGUCCUCAGUACGAGAGGACCGGGAUGGACGCAUCAAUGGUGGACCAGUUGUCACGCCAGUGGCAUAGCUGGGUAGCUAAAUGCGGAAGGGAUAAACGCUGAAGGCAUCUAAGUGUGAAACCCACUUCAAGAUGAGAUUUCCCAUUGCGCAAGCAAGUAAGACCCCUUAAAGACGAUAAGGUAGAUAGGUCAGGAGUGUAAGCAUGGUGACAUGUUAAGCGGACUGAUACUAAUAGGUCGAGGGCUUGACCGA